GACGAACGCUGGCGGCGUGCCUAAUACAUGCAAGUAGAACGCUGAAGGAAGGAGCUUGCUCUUUCUGGAUGAGUUGCGAACGGGUGAGUAACGCGUAGGUAACCUGCCUGGUAGCGGGGGAUAACUAUUGGAAACGAUAGCUAAUACCGCAUAAAAUUGAUUAUUGCAUGAUAGUCAAUUAAAAGGUGCAACUGCACCACUACCAGAUGGACCUGCGUUGUAUUAGCUAGUUGGUGGGGUAACGGCUCACCAAGGCGACGAUACAUAGCCGACCUGAGAGGGUGAUCGGCCACACUGGGACUGGGACACGGCCCAGACUCCUACGGGAGGCAGCAGUAGGGAAUCUUCGGCAAUAGACGGAAGUCUGACCGAGCAACGCCGCGUGAGUGAAGAAGGUUUUCGGAUCGUAAAGCUCUGUUGUAAGAGAAGAACGAGUGUGAGAGUGGAAAGUUCACACUGUGACGGUAUCUUACCAGAAAGGGACGGCUAACUACGUG
rnacentral:rRNA from 1 species